AUUGAACGCUGGCGGCAUGCUUUACACAUGCAAGUCGAACGGCCGCGCGGGCUUCUUCCUGGCGGCGAGUGGCGAACGGGUGAGUAAGUCAUCGGAACGUGCCCAGUAGAGGGGGAUAGCUCGGCGAAAGCCGGCUUAAUAUCGCAUACGACCUGAGGGUGAAAGCGGGGGAUCUUCGGACCUCGCGCUAUUGGAGCGGCCGAUGGCAGAUUAGCUAGUUGGUGGGGUAAAGGCCUACCAAGGCGACGAUCUGUAGCUGGUCUGAGAGGACGACCAGCCACACUGGAACUGAGACACGGCCCAGACUCCUACGGGAGGCAGCAGUGGGGAAUUUUGGACAAUGGGCGAAAGCCUGAUCCAGCAAUGCCGCGUGUGUGAUGAAGGCCUUCGGGUUGUAAAGCACUUUUGGUGGGAACGAAAAGGACUGUGCCAAUACCACGGUUCGAUGACGGUACCCGCAGAAUAAGCACCGGCUAACUACGUG
rnacentral:rRNA from 1 species